CCUGUGAACAGCUCUGUAUGAGGGUUCUCAGCAUCGAUGCCCAGGACACACUGCCCCGGGCCGGGGUCUGACAGCCCGUCCACCAUCUGUCCAUCUAGCACCUCAGUGGAGAGGUGGCCAGGAAGCAGCGGGGCAGGCAGGGCCCAUACAGCUGAGCUCUGGCUCGCACAGGGUCACUCAUGUCUGAGCCCAACAGAGCCUUCCUGGCCUCACUCCGGCUGAAGGUGCCCAUCUAUCUUCCUCUAGUGCCAAGCCUGUGGGCUGCCGCUGAGCUCCUUUCCUCCCGGCCUGACUCUGCCUGUUCUGGAUGCUUUCAUUUUCCAGAUUUCUCCAGAAAUUCCCUCACCGCACAGAGCACAGCGAGGCUGCCCACCCGGUCUCCUGACACUGAUGCCCGGGAAUCACGUCAGUGUCCCAUGGUGCUGGCUCCGGGCAGCAGGUUCUUCUCCAAGCAUUUAAACCAUGAAUCUCUGACCCCUCGGCACAUCAGAGGCACAUGUAGGCCCCAAAGGCCUGCAAAUUGUCACGAGGCCCAGGCUGUCUGAGGAGGGAGGGGACAGUACUCUCCACGGCAGGGCCACCAGGGAAAACAGAGGACAUCCAGAGGGCAGCCAAAGACGCACAGCCUCCUCCAGGUAGAGGCUAGAGUGCAGGCCGGCAGGUGCUAAGCACGGGAUAGACAGGCAUGGGGCGCAGCGGGGCUCCUGGUGCUCGAAUGGGUGUGGUGUGGGGGUCCCUCCAGCUCCUGCCUUCACUUUUCACCUUCCCAGACCAAGUUCCCGGAUUGUCAGGUGCCGUGGGGGAGAAGCCAAGGUUCUCCCUGCAGCUGGACUUUCCUACACAGUGAGAGGGCCGUAUUGCCUAUCUCGCUGUCGGCUGGCUCUGAACCACUGUUGGUACACGCGUGACUGUCCCACUAGGCAAGACGACCAUCCAUGUACCGCUGCUAUGUCAAGCUGGCAGCGUUUUGUAAAAGGUACAAAAGAAACGAUGAUGACCAUUGUUACUGAUGUUUUAAAAAAAGUUGUUUUGUAGUCUUGAGAACCCCAAACUGUCAUUUAUAAAACACUAAUUCAAACUUGUUUCACAUUGGCUACUUCUUAUCCCAAAUCCAAAACAAUCAAUGCCUUGAAUAAUCCUGGGAACUUGGGCGGUGGGGCUACCUGCUUCUGCUGCCGCUCUUGGGCUCUGGGGAGCGGAGUCGGAGACAGCAGAGAGCUCGGGGCCUGACACCUGCACCCAUCAGCCUGGCCUCCCGGGAUCCUGCAUGGCCCCUGCCCAGGGCCCCCCCAGAGCGCCCUUCUGACUUCUCCACGAGACCGGGGGACACAACACAUGACAGAAGCUCUGGCCGCCUACUUUGGGGGACUCCGAGCUGCACCACUUACCAUGAUGACGGAGACCCCGGUGGUGGUGCUGUUCUGUUUGGGGAGCGCAUUGUUAAAGUGCUGUUUCAGUUUACCUGUGACCUCUGCUUGCAUGUUGUUCUCCUGGGAGGCAUCAUCCUGCACAAAGGAACAGCAUCACAUACAAUCGUUUCUGACUCUCACAACGAAGCUGUCUUUUCUGUAACAGUUACUGCACUCUCCAAGCCCCUGGCCUCUUCCUAAAUGGCCCCGUCUCAGACACGGUUAAGGGAGUCCCUGCUUGGUGCCACAGCCUGCUCUCAAGGUCCCCAUGCCACUUGGGAGCCUGAGGCAGGAGAAUCGCCUGAGCUCGUGAUUUCAAGGCAAAUCUGGGCCACACAGAGAGGCUUCAUCACCUGUUUCAAAAGGAGGCAAGAGGCUGGAGCAGACCUCCGUGUAGUGCAUGAGUUUACCAUGCAUGAGAUGCUGGGGUGCGCCCCCCACAAGCCCCAGUCCCUCAGCCCUUGGUCACUGGCCUGCAUGGCGCACGGGGAGAUGUGGCCUCUUGGUUGCUCACUCCAAAGGCUGCGUCUUUAGCCCAGGACAGUGGUGGCAGCACAGAGUGCACAAGGGCUGCUGGGCUACCCGAAGCCCAUGGCUAUCAGAAUCAACUCUCUCUUCUGGAGAGCCGGACAUGGGAGGGCACACCCAUCAGUGAACUCCAUGUUGCCAUUCCCCACCCACAGCAAGGUCUCUGGGACCCGCAGGGCACAGACCACAGGCUCCUCCCCAGGGCACACCCUGAAAACUCUCAGGCCCAUCAACAGGGACAGGUGAGACACACAAGCUUCCUCAAGGAGACCACAGCCAGGCCCCGACCCUGGAAGAGGUGGACACUGAAGCUCAGAAAGCAACAGCCACUUGCUCCAUCAUCAGAGAGUAGGACUCGGCCCUGGUGUCAACCGCUCCCUCCUGACAGCGCCCUUCCUGCUGCUGAUUAGGAAUGAGAGAGGCUCCCAGCUGCGCCUGUGCAGAACACACAGCCAGGCUCUGCCGCUGGCCACAGGAACACAGCCGCCCCUCCUGGAAUGCGGGUACUUACUGACACCCAGGGGUGACUCAGGAUUUGUCCUGCAGUACAUCGAGCUUCGACGUUUACCUGAAGCAUCUGACUGAUUAAUUCCUAGAAAAAGAGAAGGAAAGAAGGAAGACCAUAGAGGAGGAAGGGGACACUUCCAGCACAAAUACACAAGCCUGAGUUUGCAGCAGGCAUGUCAAAGAGCAGGCAACACAGCCCCUGGGGUGCCUGGCCUUGAAGCCUCCCUGCCCUCCCACUGCCAACAAGGACAGAGAUGCAGCUGCCUCUGCCAGCCCCAGAGUGGGAGGGGAUGGUUCUUCCUACAAAGCCAAGCUGUGCUCCCUUAAAUGUUCUGGUCGCUGUCCUCAUUCCAUAGUGUAAUACUGCAAGGUUUUUCCUUUGUAAUUCAGUAUUCUCACAGGUUCACGCCUGUAUUCUGAUGGGCACCCAGUACAUAGUUCUUGAAUCGAUGGAAGAACUAGAGCUUACAGAUUCAAGAAGCAGGUAGGAACACAGUCAUUCCGACUUUCAAAACUUGGUCCAGAGCUUCGGAGACUUCACCAUGAGGUGAGCUUACAGAAAGACCACAGGGGAACACCGAAGUGCUCAUCCCCUUGCUUCACGCUCUAAGUCACUGCUGGCCCCGUGUGACUGACCAAGCCCACAGCCUGCCAGGGAGUUCACCCCUCAGAAACCCUUGGAGACGGUACCUUGGCUGAGUCGGUGAUGUUAUCCCAGUAGGGAGCGGGAAACUCCAGCUUCCCAGCCAAGAUCUGGUCGAAGAGAUCCUCCUGGAGAUUGUUCUCACUAAGCCAGGGACACAGAAAGGGAAGGGGAGGGGAGAGGAGGGGAGGGAAGUCAGGUCAAGUCAAGUCAAGUCAAGUCUAAGUCAGCACAGUUUUCAACAAAGCACUCAUGGACAGAACAGGAGGGACUCAGUAUCCUCCGCACUUUGGGUCUCAGCUGUGGGUCAACACUGUGUUGGUGGUGACAAAGUUUUCCUUUCAGACAAUGAGCCAGAGAACAUUUCCAUGGUCUGACAAUCAGAAAUGGACAGAGACCAAGAUAAAAUGGCUCAGGGUUCCAGUUUAGGAAGAGGAAAAGGCUGAAGAUGGAGAGGGGCGGUCACUGUACAAUUCAACUGUGCUACACAGGUGAAAACAGGACAGAAGCCAGGCGUGGCAGUGCAUGCUGGGAGUCCUAGCUGCUGGGGUGACCGGGUGGGACUGUCAUUUAGGCCUGCGUGUUUGAGAGUAACCUUGGCAACAGAUCAAGUUCCUGCCCUAAGAGGGCAAAAAUGGUUACAUGAGAACUUCUAUGUUGCUCAUACGUAACCACAAUGAAAAGAUUUAAAAAGAAAAUGUCAUCUACAAAUAAUGGAAACCCCCAUUUGUGGGGUCAUGAUCUGCCCUCACGCCUUCUCACCACAGUAAGAAUAGAAAAGCAGCAAGUCUGUGUCAGGCUGGCUAGUCCGACCUCUUCCCACUUUUCCAAUAAAACAGCAAAGACAUCGUUACAACUGGCAUCCAAAAUACCCGCUGCGAGGACUGCAGUGUGCUUGGUUGCUGAUGGGUCUUUGGGAGCCGACGGGAUCAUGGGGCUCUAACUUCAGCAGUGGUAAUUCCUUGAUGGAUCAGAAUUGGUGUGUUUACUGGGCGUGGAUCGUGGGAUAUGGCCCAAGGACUGUGAAGGUCCCCAGGCCUUCCUUUCUGGAUCUCUCCCUUGUGCUCUGCUGCCUCGCUGCCAUCGGGGAGCAGCCUCCUGCCACCACCCCUCCACACGAGGUCCUGCCUCACUUCAGCCCACAGCAACAGAAUCACCUGGCCAUGGACUGAAACUUCUGAAACCAUAAGCUGAAUGAACCUUUCCUCCCUGAAGGUGCUGCCUGCUGGAGCCUCACCCCUGCAGCAGAAAGCUGACCCAGUGAAUAACAGCCAACAUAGGAUGAAGCCUUUUUUCCUUUCUACAGUGAUAGCCCCACACUUUGAACUCCUUCAAAAGGAGUGAAAAAGCCAGUAAGACUUUAUAAAAACCUUUAAAAAAUCAGAAUAAUGUCAGAAGACACUUAAGAAAUGAUCUAUUUUUUAAAAAAGAAACUAUCUAUUUCCAGAGCUGUUCCUUUUAGCCACCCUUCCUAUUUUCUCCACUUUCCAUCCCUACAUUUUUUCAGGAGUCUCACAUAGCUUAUGUGUUAGCCCAGAUCACUUUUAUCUUGUAGUGGAAGCCAGAAGUACAUUCUCUACAUAGCGGGCUCCUGGCAAAGUGGCCUGAAUCAACAAGCAAAGCCCGGGUGGUUCGGGGAAUGAGGUGGACGUGGUGAUGCUCAGCCACCCCAGGACAGGACAGGGCUGAAGAGGGUUCAUUCUUCCCUGCAGGCAUGAAGGAAAGGUGGCCCUGAUGGAACCCUCCUGGAUUUAUUGUCAUAUUUACACUCUGAAGUCUGGCGGAGAAGCCACAGGCCACUUUUUUAUUCUUAUUCAAGAGCCUUUGGCUCAAGGUGCCAUUAAGUCUGGAACUGUCCAUUAAGAUAAACCAUGAACACAGCAGGGUCUGUGCACACCGUGUCUCCAAUGACAGGUCCCUAACAGUAGGAAAAGGCAGCCUAACAGUGCUGAAUGCGAUUUCAUAAGCCAGGCUCAAACCUUCCACAUGCAAAGUGUGUGUGCAUGCCUCUGUGUAACUGAGAAUCUCACUACAGUUACACACACACACACACACACACACACACACACACACACACACACACGUUAUCAGUGGCCCUAAAAGCAGACAUUUUCAGGCAACAAUCAAAAUUUGGGGUGCCUCUGAAAAACCAAUCUCCUUAGUAAAGUUCAAGCUGAUGCUGAAAAGAGCUGAGGAAGAACACACAUCGGCUAGGGCGAAACCCAAAAGCACGAAAGGAAGAAAGAACAAGGGGUGUUACACUUCCAGGCACUGAAACUGCAAAUCCCAAGCCACCAAUUGUGGUUCAAAAGCUUUGGGUUACAGUUGUCUUUUAAAUAAAACAAAAUAUUUGGAA